UGGGGAAUUUUGGACAAUGGGCGAAAGCCUGAUCCAGCAAUGCCGCGUGUGUGAAGAAGGCCUUCGGGUUGUAAAGCACUUUUGUCCGGAAAGAAAUGGCUCUGGUUAAUACCUGGGGUCGAUGACGGUACUGGAAGAAUAAGGACCGGCUAACUACGUGCCAGCAGCCGCGGUAAUACGUAGGGUCCAAGCGUUAAUCGGAAUUACUGGGCGUAAAGCGUGCGCAGGCGGUUGUGCAAGACCGAUGUGAAAUCCCCGAGCUUAACUUGGGAAUUGCAUUGGUGACUGCACGGCUAGAGUGUGUCAGAGGGGGGUAGAAUUCCACGUGUAGCAGUGAAAUGCGUAGAGAUGUGGAGGAAUACCGAUGGCGAAGGCAGCCCCCUGGGAUAACACUGACGCUCAUGCACGAAAGCGUGGGGAGCAAACAGG
rnacentral:rRNA from 1 species